CCUACGGUGGGCUGCAGUGGGGAAUAUUGGACAAUGGGGGCAACCCUGAUCCAGCCAUGCCGCGUGUGUGAAGAAGGCCCUCGGGUUGUAAAGCACUUUCAGUGAGGAAGAACGCCUGGUGGUUAAUACCCAUCAGGAAAGACAUCACUCACAGAAGAAGCACCGGCUAACUCCGUGCCAGCAGCCGCGGUAAUACGGAGGGUGCGAGCGUUAAUCGGAAUUACUGGGCGUAAAGCGCGCGUAGGUGGCUUGAUAAGCCGGUUGUGAAAGCCCCGGGCUCAACCUGGGAACGGCAUCCGGAACUGUCAAGCUAGAGUGCAGGAGAGGAAGGUAGAAUUCCCGGUGUAGCGGUGAAAUGCGUAGAGAUCGGGAGGAAUACCAGUGGCGAAGGCGGCCUUCUGGACUGACACUGACACUGAGGUGCGAAAGCGUGGGUAGCAAACAGGAUUAGAUACCCCAGUAGUC
rnacentral:rRNA from 1 species